ACUGCAAACAACUGGCAAGUCCAUUAACAGUUAAACAGAUAAAUUGUGGCACAUUCAUACGAUAGAAUUCUGCUGUUCUAGGUUGAAUUGGGACCCCCAAGAAGAUAGAGUGAAGUCUUAACCACCAAUACCUGUGAAUACCAAAGAAGGAUAGACUUACAGAAGAAGGAAUGAAGAAUGAAAACUUCUUUAAAGUUUCAGUUUAUCUUGACGAGAUGGAUGCUUCAGCAGCCACUUCGCAAUGAUGAGAGAAAAGCCAAGAAAACUGCAGUGAUCAGCCUUGACGUUAUUGAAUCUCAGAAAUAACAUCAGAUGCUGUCUAUCUCUGGACUUCUAGAAAUUCACACAGAGAGAGAGGGAGAGGCAGAGACACAGGCAGAGGGAGAAGCAGGCUCCAUG